GCAUCCCAGGCCCAAGGGGAGACAGAACCAGAGCAGGUGUAAUGACAGGGAAGAGACAUCUGGUGCCUCUGAUCGGGCUUCAUUUGUGUCCAACAUCAGAAGGGUGCUCUCUUUGUAAAGCCUGCCAGGACAAGUUGACCCCAGCGAGAGGAACAGAAGACAACUGGAGGAAAGGGAUGGCCCGUUGGGGCUGGACACAGACCGACUGGCUUUCCUCUGAGGUGGGAGUGAAGAGACUCCUGUUUCUGGGAGUUUCAUCCCAGGAUCAGCCACUGGGUUCGGCAGCACCUGUCUGGGGGGCAAGCCCGGAACGAGUCUCCAGCCUGACCUUCUCUGAUGAGCAGCCUGCCUCCUUAAAGAGGGAGUUGAGUCACCUGUUCUCAGCAGGAAGUGCCCUGGUAGAGGUUCAGACUCCACGUCUAAGGGAGAGAUUCUCAUAAGACUCGGGAACCAAGAAUGGGAUUCCGGGCAUUCGUGAACCCUUGAGAUGUUGUGUAAAAUUACCUAUGCACAUGUAUUUUCCUAGAGAGUCCACAGUUUUUAUCUUCGUAUUUCGGAAGGAAUCUAUGAUCCUGGAAAGAUUAAGGACUACUGGUGUAAGCCAAGAGGGAGCAACCAUGCUCCUUCCCGAGCCUGGUCAGGGAGCUGAGAUGAAGUCCAGAUUCCAGGGAGUUCCCUGUGGGAGAACCACUUCUGAUGGUUUGUGCUAAUAGCUCUGUGCCCUUGGGGCUGGAGGUCGGCUGUAGGGCUUUCUCCCUGUCCAGGAGGCUGUUAUUGGGUCUCCGUACCUCUGGUUCUGCUCCCGUUCAUGGUCUCACCUUCACCUAAUUCUCAAGGUUUAUAAACCUAGCUGGGACACAGAAGGCGCUAAAAAUAUGUGUUUGGCUGAAAGAAGAAAAGAAUCCUUUGCUGCCGUGACAGGGAAGCGGCACAUUUCUGUCAAGGCCUCUCUGGUGCAAUUUGCAUAAGGACCGAAGUCACCUAGGCAAAGGUGAUAGCAGGACUCCCCAGGACCUGGCCCCACCUCCCCCCCCACACGGUAAAAUACAGGUUGUACUGACCCUGGAAUCCAGGUACCCAUUCCUAAAGAGGAGGCUCUGAGGGAUGUGACAGUUGAAAUGCAGCAGGUAUAUCCCCUGGGGGAACCCAGUGCUGCUGUUGCUCCAGCGGGAAGGCUGGAGGGACGGUCCCACCUGUUUCCCAGUGCCAAGGUUUUGUUUAACUCCCUUCCCAAACGGCAAUGUCUGCUUGCACUUUGGGCCGGUUUUCAGUAUUCGAGGUUUCUAGCUGCUCGAUUAGGUUUAAUUACCAUGCAUUCUGCUUCAGCAGCUCGAGCCCUGGAGAGGCUGUCUGGCUCAGGUUCUAAGCAACAAAGGAACG